CCUACGGGUGGCAGCAGUGGGGGAUAUUGCACAAUGGGGGGAACCCUGAUGCAGCGACGCCGCGUGGGUGAAGAAGCGCCUCGGCGCGUAAAGCCCUGUCAGCAGGGAAGAAAAUGACGGUACCUGAAGAAGAAGCCCCGGCUAACUACGUGCCAGCAGCCGCGGUAAUACGUAGGGGGCAAGCGUUAUCCGGAUUUACUGGGUGUAAAGGGUGCGCAGACGGCGGUGCAAGCCAGGAGUGAAAGCCCGGGGCUCAACCCCGGGACUGCUCUUGAAACUGCGUGGCUGGAGUGCAGGAGGGGCAGGCGGAAUGCCUGGUGUAGCGGUGAAAUGCGUAGAGAUCAGGAGGAACACCGGUGGCGAAGGCGGCCUGCUGGACUGCAACUGACGUUGAGGCCCGAAAGCGUGGGGAGCAAACAGGAUUAGAUACCCCAGUAGUC
rnacentral:rRNA from 1 species